CCAGUAGUCAUAUGCUUGUCUUAAAGAUUAAGCCAUGCAUGUCUAAGUAUAAGCACUUGUACGGCGAGACUGCGAACGGCUCAUUAAAAUCAGUUAUAGUUUAUUUGAUGGUCAACUUACUUGGAUAACUGUGGAAAAUCUAGAGCUAAUACAUGCAACCAGGCUCUUAGGAGCUGGAUUUAUUGGCAUAAAAACCAAACCAGCCUCGUGCUGGUUAGUGGUGAAGCACGAUAACUAACCGGAUCGCACAGCCUUGAGCUGGCGACAGAUCAUUCAAAUUUCUGCCCUAUCAACUUUCGAUUGUAGUGUAGUGGCCUACAAUGGUGACAACGGGUACGGAGAAUUAGGGUUCGGUUCCGGAGAUGGAGCCUGAGAAACGGCUACAACUUCCAAGGAAGGCAGCAGGCGCGCAAAUUACCCAAUCCUAACGCAGGGAGGUAGUGACAAUAAAUAACAAUGCAGGCCCCGAUAAGGGGCUUGCAAUUGGAAUGAGUGUAAUUCAAACACCUUAACAAGGAACAAUUGGAGGAAAAGUCUGGUGCCAGCACCCGCGGUAAUUCCAGCUCCAAUAGCGUAUAUUAAAGUUGUUGCAGUUAAAAAGCUCGUAGUUGGAUUGCAGAGUAGUGAGCGCCCGGUCCACCAGCAAAAGGUGUGCACUGGUGCUUACGCUCUUCCUUCUGGUAACUUGUCCCGCUUCUUCACUGAGGCGGGAGCACAGCACCAGAUCAUUUACCUUGAAAAAAUUAGAGUGUUUAAAGCAGGCCGCCGCGCUUGAAUAGAUUAGCAUGGGAUAAUAGAGUAGGAUCGCCAGCCUAUUUUGUUGGUUUUUAGGUUGGAGAUAAUGAUAAAUAGAGACAAUCGGGGGUAUUUAUAUUAGGCUGCUAGAGGUGAAAUUCUUGGAUUAGCCAAAGAUAGACUACUGCGAAAGCAUUUACCAAGGGUGUUUUCAUUGAUCAAGAACGAAAGUUAGGGGAUCGAAGACGAUCAGAUACCGUCGUAGUCUUAACCAUAAACUAUGCGGACCAGGGAUUGGAGGAUGUUACAUGGGAGUAUGGUCGCAAGGCUGAAACUUAAAGAAAUUGACGGAGAACAAAACAAGGAGUGGAGCCUGCGGCUUAAUUUGACCCAACACGGGGAAACUUGCCCGGUCAAGACACAGGAAUGAUUGACAGAUUGAGAGCUCUUUCUUGAUUCUGUGGGUGGUGGUGCAUGGCCGUUCUUAGUUGGUGGAUUGAUUUGUCUGGUUUAUUCCGAUAACGAACGAGACCUUAGCUUACUAAAUAGUGGUAAAAAUCGUCUAUGUGGGUGAAGUUUCAAUGUCAAUGUAAGCUUUUGUUUAUGUUGCAUCUGAGAUGGAUCCCUGAUGCAUUUUCAAAAACUUCUUAGAAGGACUAGUUGUGUUUAGCAACUGGAAGUUUAAGGCAAUAACAGGUCUGUGAUGCCCUUAGAUGUCCGGGACCGCACGCGCGCUACACUGAUCAACUCAGCAAGUACCUCACCUUGGCUUAGCAGCCUAGGUAAUCUUUUGAAAGUUGAUCGUGCUGGGGAUAGACCUUUGUAAUUUUGGGUCUUGAACGAGGAAUUCCUAGUAAGCGCGCAUCAUCAAUGCGCGCUGACUGCGUCCCUAGUUCUUGUACACACCGCCCGUCGCUCCUACCGAUUGGGUGUUCCGGUGAAAUCUCUGGAUUGUGAGACAAGUGUACAGGGGCAACUCUGUACCAGUUUUAUGAGAAGCUGAUUAAACCUUAACAUCUAGAGGAAGGAGAAGUCGUAACAAG
rnacentral:rRNA from 1 species